UACGGGAGGCAGCAGUGGGGAAUAUUGCACAAUGGGCGCAAGCCUGAUGCAGCCAUGCCGCGUGUAUGAAGAAGGCCUUCGGGUUGUAAAGUACUUUCAGCAGUGAGGAAGGUGGGUAUGUUAAUAGCAUACUCAUUUGACGUUAGCUGCAGAAGAAGCACCGGCUAACUCCGUGCCAGCAGCCGCGGUAAUACGGAGGUGCGAGCGUUAAUCGGAAUUACUGGGCGUAAAGCGCAUGCAGGUGGUUUGUUAAGUCAGAUGUGAAAGCCCGGGGCUCAACCUCGGAAUUGCAUUUGAAACUGGCAAACUAGAGUACUGUAGAGGGGGUAGAAUUUCAGGUGUAGCGGUGAAAUGCGUAGAGAUCUGAAGGAAUACCGGUGGCGAAGGCGGCCCCCUGGACAGAUACUGACACUCAGAUGCGAAAGCGUGGGGAGCAAACAGGAUUAGAUACCCUGGUAG
rnacentral:rRNA from 1 species